rnacentral:rRNA from 1 species
GAUGAACGCUGGCGGCGUGCCUAAUACAUGCAAGUCGAGCGAACAGACGAGGAGCUUGCUCCUCUGACGUUAGCGGCGGACGGGUGAUUAACACGUGGAUAACCUACCUAUAAGACUGGGAUAACUUCGGGAAACCGGAGCUAAUACCGGAUAAUAUAUUGAACCGCAUGGUUCAAUAGUGAAAGACGGUUUUGCUGUCACUUAUAGAUGGAUCCGCGCCGCAUUAGCUAGUUGGUAAGGUAACGGCUUACCAAGGCAACGAUGCGUAGCCGACCUGAGAGGGUGAUAGGCCACACUGGAACUGAGAAACGGUACAGACUCCUACGGGAGGCAGCAGUAGGGAAUCUUCCGCAAUGGGCGAAAGCCUGACGGAGCAACGCCGCGUGAGUGAUGAAGGUCUUCGGAUCGUAAAACUCUGUUAUUAGGGAAGAACAAAUGUGUAAGUAACUAUGCACGUCUUGACGGUACCUAAUCAGAAAGCCACGGCUAACUACGUG